rnacentral:rRNA from 1 species
CUACGGGCUGCUCCAGUGAGGAAUUUUGCGCAAUGGGCGAAAGCCUGACGCAGCAACGCCGCGUGAGUGAUGAAGGCCUUCGGGUCGUAAAGCUCUGUCAAGUGGGAAGAACCUAUGUAAUGUUAAUAUCAUUAUAUACUGACGGUACCACUGAAGGAAGCACCGGCUAACUCCGUGCCAGCAGCCGCGGUAAUACGGGGGGUGCAAGCGUUAUUCGGAAUCAUUGGGCGUAAAGGGCACGUAGGCGGCCUGGUAAGUCAGAGGUGAAAGCCCGGGGCUUAACCCCGGAAGUGCAGUUGAUACUGUCAGGCUUGAGUAUGGGAGAGGGAAGUGGAAUUCCUGGUGUAGAGGUGAAAUUCGUAGAUAUCAGGAGGAACACCGGUGGCGAAGGCGACUUCCUGGACCAAUACUGACGCUGAGGUGCGAAGGCGUGGGUAGCAAACAGGAUUAGAUACCCCGGUAGUC